rnacentral:rRNA from 1 species
GACGAACGCUGGCGGCGUGCUUAACACAUGCAAGUCGAACGGAAAGGCCCUGCUUUUGUGGGGUGCUCGAGUGGCGAACGGGUGAGUAACACGUGAGUAACCUGCCCUUGACUUUGGGAUAACUUCAGGAAACUGGGGCUAAUACCGGAUAGGAGCUCCUGCUGCAUGGUGGGGGUUGGAAAGUUUCGGCGGUUGGGGAUGGACUCGCGGCUUAUCAGCUUGUUGGUUGGGUAGUGUCUUACCAAGGCUUGGAAGGGUAGCCGGGCUGGGAGGGUGACCUGCCACAUUGGGACUGAGAUACGGCCCAGCCUCCUACGGUAGGCAGCAGUGGGGAAUAUUGCACAAUGGGCGGAAGCCUGAUGCAGCAACGCCGCGUGCGGGAUGACGGCCUUCGGUUUGUAAUCCGCUUUCGCCUGUGACGAAGCGUGAAUGACGGUAAUGGGUAAAGAAGCACCGGCUAACUACGUG